GCCAGCAUGGUGUAGUGGUUUGAGUGUUGGACUACCACUCUGGAGACCUGGGUUUGAGUCCCCACUCUGCCA
rnacentral:tRNA from 1 species